rnacentral:rRNA from 1 species
AUUGAACGCUGGCGGCAGGCCUAACACAUGCAAGUCGAGCGGAGCGGCGGACGGGUGAGUAAUGCCUAUGAAUCUGCCUGGUAGUGGGGGAUAACGUCCGGCAACGGGCGCUAAUACCGCACACUAUCAGAUGAGCCUAGGUCGGAUUAGCUAGUUGGUGGGGUAAAGGCCUACCAACGCGACGAUCCGUAACCGGUCUGAGAGGAUGAUCAGUCACACUGGAACUGGGACACGGUCCAGACUCCUACGGGAGGCAGCAGGGGGGAAAAUUGGGCAAUGGGCGAAAGCCUGAGACAGCCAUGCCGCGUGUGUGAAGAAGGUCUUCGGAUUGUAAAGCACUUUAAGUUGGGAGGCGUUACCAGCAGAAUAAGCACCGGCUAACUUCGUGCCAGCAGCCGCGGUAAUUC